CGGAUGUAGCUCAGUUGGUUAGAGCGCCGGCCUGUCACGCCGGAGGUCGCGGGUUCGAGCCCCGUCAUUCG
rnacentral:tRNA from 2 species